rnacentral:sRNA from 1 species
UCAGAAACAUCAGAACUCACAGUGGGUAU